AGUGAACGCUGGCGGUAGGCCUAACACAUGCCAGUCGAACGGCAGCACAGUAAGAGCUUGCUCUUACGGGUGGCGAGUGGCGGACGGGUGAGGAAUACAUCGGAAUCUACUUUUUCGUGGGGGAUAACGUAGGGAAACUUACGCUAAUACCGCAUACGACCUACGGGUGAAAGCAGGGGAUCUUCGGACCUUGCGCGAUUGAAUGAGCCGAUGUCGGAUUAGCUAGUUGGCGGGGUAAAGGCCCACCAAGGCGACGAUCCGUAGCUGGUCUGAGAGGAUGAUCAGCCACACUGGAACUGAGACACGGUCCAGACUCCUACGGGAGGCGGCAGUGGGGAAUAUUGGACAAUGGGCGCAAGCCUGAUCCAGCCAUACCGCGUGGGUGAAGAAGGCCUUCGGGUUGUAAAGCCCUUUUGUUGGGAAAGAAAAGCAGCAGGUUAAUACCCCGCUGUUCUGACGGUACCCAAAGAAUAAGCACCGGCUAACUUCGUG
rnacentral:rRNA from 1 species